rnacentral:lncRNA from 1 species
AAAACGCUUUAAAAGACUUUGUUUCAAUUUAAACCCUAGGGUUUACGCCCAUUUGAGCUUUGGAUUUUCAAACCAAUGAGGUUUACUUAUAAAAGGGGUUUAUUGCAUAAAUAAGCUAUCCCAUAAUUUUUGGAUAACUAUUUGGAGUUGAAAAAGUAUUUUAUUUAAAUAGUUAUAUAGCCCUAAAGGCAUUUAUAGGGCAAAUGUAUUUUUAGAUAUUUUAUUUUGAGGGGAAAUUACUCCCAAAAGUUGAAUCAUAGUAAAACAUGAUUUUACAAAUUUUCUGGAAUUUAUUUGGACCAAUUUGGAGUUCAAAAUCAAAAGUUAUCAAAGAAAUAAGAAAAACAGAAAAAGAAAAGGGCUAAAACAAAAAAAAGGGAAAAAGAAAAGAAAAAAAAAGAGAACCGGACCGGUCCUACCGCUUGGGCCGAACCGGCCCAGAACCGACCGCGCCCGACCGCACGCGAGCUGGCCCAACCAGCCCGGUCCGCCCGCGCGCGCGCCCGCUGCCAUUGACGCGUGGGACCCACGCGUUAGGCUUCGUCUUCGUUCGGAAAGCCGGCCGCCGAAUCCGCGCCGGACACCGCGCCGCUGCAAUCUCCGUCCCCGCUAACUCCGGCCUUCCCGAAGUGCCCCGCCCGCGUCAUUAUAAAGCUCUGCCCCUCCUCUUUUUUUUCCCUCUUCUCGCCGCC